AAACACAGAGAAAAGACAGAGAGUUGGCCGGAUUCCCAAUCCAAGACCUAUGGUGGUGUGAAGGUCAUAAAGAGGCAGUUUUGGGAGAGAUCAAGGGGGAAGUUAUGAACGACUUUCUUGUGGUUUUGAUCCGUGAUGUUAUCACCCAAAGCAUCCUACAGGGCCUGAGAACACACGCAAAUGGUGAGGAAAGAAGGUAGAUGACCGGAAUUCAUUCCCAAAGGCCAAGACAGCCUUAAGGAGAGAGGUGUGUGGGAGGGUAGUUUCAUCGAAGUGCAAGGGGAGUUAUGAACGACCCUGUGGUAGGUUUUCACCACGGAUUAACACGUCCUAGGCUUCCCCCGUAUCUUGGGAACACACGCAAAUACCCAGGAGAAAAGGGAGAAGGCCGGACUUCCCUAACAAUGGCAUGAAUAGCCUUGAAGGUGGAUGCAGUGUAGAAACUGGUUUCAUGGAAGUUCCAUGGAAGGGAUCAGGGGUGCGACCCAUGAAUGGAUCUUAUCAAUAUAUGAGAUAUGUGAUAAGGAUUGAUAGAGGCGUGCACUGGAGGAGCAUGGCCGAACAUAAUAAGGAAAGGCACUUGAUCUAAUCAGAUCAUGUAUAAGG
rnacentral:lncRNA from 1 species